rnacentral:rRNA from 1 species
AACGAACGCUGGCGGCAGGCCUAACACAUGCAAGUCGAGCGAGGACUUCGGUCCUAGCGGCGGACGGGUGAGUAACGCGUGGGAACGUGCCCUUUGCUUCGGAAUAGCCCUGGGAAACUGGGAGUAAUACCGGAUGAGCCCUUUGGGGGAAAGAUUUAUCGGCGAAGGAUCGGCCCGCGUUGGAUUAGGUAGUUGGUGGGGUAAUGGCCUACCAAGCCGACGAUCCAUAGCUGGUUUGAGAGGAUGAUCAGCCACACUGGGACUGAGACACGGCCCAGACUCCUACGGGAGGCAGCAGUGGGGAAUCUUAGACAAUGGGGGAAACCCUGAUCUAGCCAUGCCGCGUGAGCGAUGAAGGCCUUAGGGUUGUAAAGCUCUUUCAGCUGGGAAGAUAAUGACGGUACCAGCAGAAGAAGCCCCGGCUAACUCCGUGC